UACGGGGGGGGCAAGCGUUGUUCGGAAUUACUGGGCGUAAAGGGCUCGUAGGCGGCCAUCUAAGUCGGAUGUGAAAUCCCCAGGCUUAACCUGGGAACUGCAUCCGAUACUGGAUGGCUUGAAUCCGGGAGAGGGAUGCAGAAUUCCAGGUGUAGCGGUGAAAUGCGUAGAUAUCUGGAGGAAUACCGGUGGCGAAGGCGGCAUCCUGGACCGGCAUUGACGCUGAUGAGCGAAAGCUAGGGGAGCAAACGGG
rnacentral:rRNA from 1 species